rnacentral:rRNA from 1 species
CAGCAGCCGCGGGAAUACGAAGGGUGCAAGCGUUAAUCGGAAUUACUGGGCGUAAAGCGCGCGUAGGUGGUUUGUUAAGUUGGAGGUGAAAUCCCCGGGCUCAACCUGGGAACUGCCUCCAAAACUGGCUGACUAGAGUACGGUAGAGGGUGGUGGAAUUUCCUGUGUAGCGGUGAAAUGCGUAGAUAUAGGAAGGAACACCAGUGGCGAAGGCGACCACCUGGACUGAUACUGACACUGAGGUGCGAAAGCGUGGGGAGCAAACAGGAUUAGAUACCCCGGUAGUCCCUGUCUCUUAUAC